GGCAGAUCUAGUGUCCAUUGAUGGUGCGGGCGCCAUUGCACUAUCCUGAGUUGAUACAAUGGUGGCGACGGAGAGCACAACAGCCACAAACAUGAUCAUAAUGUGUUUAGAGAAGCAAACUUUUGAUAUCCCUGAAAACUAACAAAGAAAAUUAUACAAUGUUUUUCAAGGUAGAAAAAUAAGGACUCAAAUUUUAUAUGAAAUACGACCUUUCAAGGCGA
rnacentral:lncRNA from 1 species